UUUAUUUCAUACCAUCAGGCUGCAAGAAAAACAGAACGGUGCCUGUAAGUCACAUGGAGCUCGGGGAGCGGGAGGGAGAUUUAUCCAUUGGAACAAAGAGAUGGACUUUUCCCUCCACAUGCAAGUUGUGCAAGUCUGGAAAAAUAGGAGGCAGCUGGGCUAUACUGCUUCUCUCGUGAGCCAGGCUUUCAUAUGAAUAAGAGAUUAAGACCGGGUGCGGGAAGAGGUGCCGUCGGAGCUACCACACUGGUGGUGCGCCAUCUGCAGAUCCCUCUGCCCUAGGACGAUCCUGCCAGAGCUGGCUUCUCAGGAUUUAGGGCCACUUUGCCAAGCUGCCUGAACACAACCGUGGAUGGGGUUUUAUUCUUCAUCUGACACUCAAUGGCUUUGCUUUGAUUCAGUGCCUUUAGUCACUGGAGUCAUGCAAGCAGGAUUUCGUCCCGGAUGGAAGAUCGGGGUGUUGGCAGUGGCCAGUACCAGCUGCUUCAGGAGGUGCAAGAAAUCCACAGUGUAAGACAUUGGUGUUUGGCAUCAUGUUCCUUGCUGGUAGCUGCAAUCUACAAGCCAUACUCCAAGGAGCUGGGGGGAAAGGGACCAAAUUCAAUCUGGACAAAGACAAUGUUAGACCAAUCAAAACAAAAGAUUUUGGUCACGCCCCCUCAGCUGACAAUAUAAAGCUCAAGCCUGCAAAAGGAGCAGCAGUUGCUGAAAUGAGGUCACUAAAGAAUGAUGCUGAGCUGGAGAAGCCAUCGGGAUGGGGAUUUACCUUGCCAGGUUUAUACCAGGCCUUGCAGAAGUCUUGGCAUGACUAGAAGAUCGCCUAGAGAAAGACUCAGUGUUCCACUGGGAUGCCCAGUGAGAUUCUGUCUUCACCAGUGUGAACCAUCUCAUCUCCAGUGGAAGCUCGUUUGCAAACGAUGGUACAAAUGAAGAAGUGGAUGCAUCUAAAUGAGGACUUGAGGAUUCCAUACAUCCAAGGAAAUAAAUUUUGCCAGCUUAAAAAGGA